rnacentral:tRNA from 1 species
GAGCCCGUAGCUCAGCUGGUAGAGCAGUUGACUUUUAAUCAACGGGUCACGCGUUCGAAUCGCGUCGGGCUCA